rnacentral:snoRNA from 1 species
AAGACCUUACUUCAUAGGAUCAUUUCUAUAGUAAGUUCUUCACGAGACCUUCACAACAUGUGAGAUUGUACCAACCACGUUGAUGAGACGUGGCGCGACGCCCUGAGCGUGAGGCGGCAGCAGCUCGCUGCCAGCCCUCGAUGAUCGUUCGCUCUCCGUGCAAGCGGAGGGGGUGGGGCGUUGUCGCUGUCUGAGUGGU